rnacentral:sRNA from 1 species
ACAACUUGAAGGGCGGCGCUUUCCGUUGAAGACGCUGACUGGUGAAUGGAAUGGUUGCCGAGGGCAUGGUCUGAAGGCUUUUGGGCAGAGGAUCUGUUGCACAAGCACGUCUAUCUAAGCAACCAACUCUCCGCUGCACUAAAUUCUUUCUCUUCCAUCAAAGGACUGAAUAAACCACAAUUUUCUGCGAUAUUUCUUUGAUAUAUACACGUACUGAGAGUCAUCUCCAGUUUUUUGAGAAGCAAUCCACCCGCAAAGAUGAACUCGCCACAAAGGGAUUCCAUGCUACGGCCCAGAGGGUACUUCAAUAUAGUGGCUCUGUCAACCUCGGAGACGUUAUUUCGACAAAUGCAGAUGAGGCUGAGUGGUCAGACUCAGUGGACAGUGGAUGCAACAUGAUAGAAAAAGCUGAUCCUCGCAUAAAACAAGCUCAAAUCCAGUAGGGUGCCUUUCUCUCUCUCUUUCUUUUUUGUUUUCCUGAUGUGUCUCGGUGUGCCAACCUUAAAAUAAUGGAUUGAGUUGAGAGACUUGUAGGGGUGCGCGGGCACAUAGGUCGAGUAAAGACAGAAAUGACUCCAAGGAUGUCAUCAUGGUAGUGCUUUUAACCUCCACAGGGACUAGUGUCGGUAGUGUCCAUUUCCACCUUGACGGUCCCUUUAAGUUCUUUCCUUCUCGUGCUGGAAAGCUGGGCGGAUUUGCAUACAACUUGCAGAAAGCGGGUCUCGUGGUAGAAGAGGGAGAGCCUGAAAGGGAUACUGGGAGUGCUGGUGAUGAAAACAAACCGGCACAGCAAUCUCCUUCAACGGACGCACUUUCUCGUACGGACUGAUGAACACGGGCAAUAAUAUACAAUGAGUAGGCUGCCAUUGGGCCCCAUGGCUUCCACGAUGAAGGGGGUCCCAUGGUACUGGCGAUUUCUUGUAUAUAGGACUACUUUACCGGAGUUAAAAAAUAAUGCUCUCUCCACACAGAUUCUCUUCAACACAAUGCAUGCAUUACCAGAGAAGUGGGGUAAAGCGGAGAGCAAGAGCCAGCUGGUGGAAUCCUACUUGAGGCAUGGCCAUCG